AUUUAUUAUAAUAUUAUUUUAUAAAUUAAUUGAAUUAACUUCCACCAUCAAAUUUACUUGACUAAAUAUUGAUAGGUUGCUGAUUUAAAAAUGAUAUAGCGAUUUAAUUAUUGUCAUACCAUCAAUCACAAUAUUGCUAUAUCACUUUUAUAUUAACGACACAUAAAUAUUUAGUCAGUUAAAUUAGAUUGCAUAACUUGAUUGUGACAAUUCAGAAAGUUCGAGUCGAAAAUUGCAAUAAAUUAAAUUUGGCUAAAUUACAGAAAAUAUCACUGUCAAAAUUUGAAUUUUUCACUUUCAUUUCUUGUCAUUUAAAAACCUACACUUUACCCCCUUGUAAAAUAAAAAAUAUUCACUUUACUCCCUACCGUUAGUGAUCCGUUAAGAUUCCAUUAUAAAAUAUUUUUAUACCAAAAGUACCCUCUGCCCUCUCUAUUGUUGCUUCGCCCUCCUCCGCCUCGCCGCCUCGCCCUCCUCCACUGCCUCGCCCUCACCCACAUCUCCUUUGCCCACCUCUUCAUCCACGCCCACCUCGAUUUCCUCCCUAUUGUCGCCGAAAUGGAGGGGCGACGAGGGUGUAGGAGAAGAAGUGGAGCAGGUGGAGAAGAAGAUAGAGAGGAACUGCAGCUGAUCGAGACGCGAAUCACAGCCGAUCGAGGCAGCGGAUGAGCAAGAUGAGGGAGGAGACGAAAUAGUGAGGGAUAAAAUGGUUAUUUUGUUGUCACAGUUCACACCGUACCUCCAUGAAUAUUUUUUAUUUUACAACGGGGCAAAGUGUAGAUUUUUAAAUGACAUUGGCGAAAAGUAAAAAAUCGAAUUUUGACAGAAAAAUUUUAUGUAAUUUAGCCAUUAAAUUUUGAUGACCAAAAUGUCAUGCACCUCAUAGCUUGAGGAUCAAAAGUAUAAUUUACCAUAACNUCACUUUACUCCCUACCGUUAGUGAUCCGUUAAGAUUCCAUUAUAAAAUAUUUUUAUACCAAAAGUACCCUCUGCCCUCUCUAUUGUUGCUUCGCGGCACCCAUAACCACCCCCUCGCCCUCCUUUUUCGCCUCGCCUUCGCCCUCGUUGUUCUUGCCCACCUCUUCAUCCACGCCCACCUCGAUUUCCUCCCUAUUGUCGCCGAAAUGGAGGGGCGACGAGGGUGUAGGAGAAGAAGUGGAGCAGGUGGAGAAGAAGAUAGAGAGGAACUGCAGCUGAUCGAGACGCGAAUCACAGCCGAUCGAGGCAGCGGAUGAGCAAGAUGAGGGAGGAGACGAAAUAGUGAGGGAUAAAAUGGUUAUUUUGUUGUCACAGUUCACACCGUACCUCCAUGAAUAUUUUUUAUUUUACAACGGGGCAAAGUGUAGAUUUUUAAAUGACAUUGGCGAAAAGUAAAAAAUCGAAUUUUGACAGAAAAAUUUUAUGUAAUUUAGCCAUUAAAUUUUGAUGACCAAAAUGUCAUGCACCUCAUAGCUUGAGGAU
rnacentral:lncRNA from 1 species